AUAGGGGUUAAUGUGUUAAUAAUCACCUAACCUAGACCUUGAAUCUACACCCCCUAACCUUCUAAUUCAUCGACCCAUAACCCAUAACCCUUCUAAAGAUGCAAUGUGAUUUAUUCCCAUUGCUCUGCAUGUCAAUGUGAAGAAAUUAAACCAAGCACGGGUAAACGGCGGGAAUAACUAUGACUAUAUUAAGGUAUCCAAAUGCCUUGUCAUCUAAUUAGUGACGCGCAUGAAUGGAUCAUUAAUGAGAUUCCUUACUGUCCCUAGCUACUAUAUUCUAGAGAAACCACAUCCUAGGGAAUGGGCUUGGCAGAAUUAGCAGGGAAAGAAGACCUUCAUGUUGAGCUUGACUCUAGUCCUAACCCAUUCAUAGUUUGGGAAAAUUAGGGCAUAUUUUGGGAAAAUUAGACCAUAACAUUUGUCUUUGUGAGUCAAAUUGAUGAUGGAAACAAGUGGGUGUGUGAGUCAAUUUUGAGUCCAUAAACCCUCCCAUAUCGUUAAGGCAUGUGAAUAGUCUAUCUACGAUCAUGAUGGUAUAAAAAUGAAUGAGCUUCUCUUAGUUUCAAGAAAAAAUUAUCCUCUAAUGAACAAGGCCAA
rnacentral:ncRNA from 1 species